UCAACUUUUUGCCUUUAUAGGGACAUGAAUACAGAUUGAUUUGAGACAUACAUACUUCUGAAUAAAAUAUGCAAAAAAAAGCAGUAUCAGUAGAAGUGCCAAGGCAAAUGUUUUUUUCCUAAUGGAAAUAUUUGCAUUUAUUUGAUUUGUAGAGUGGUAAACUGAUAAACUAGUAAGUGUAAUGCUAACUGAAUCCAAUGCCAUGCACCACAGUGAUUAUUAUGCAGUUAACUGCUUCAGCUAAGUGCCACUGUCGCUCAGUACUGUCAUUAAAAUUAACGGGUGGCUGCGCACUCAGAACUACCACCACUAAGCGUCCUCCUGAUUGUUCCUUUGACAUGGAAAAAGAAGCAUGCAGAUAUUAAUAUUUCUUAUCUAACAGGUCAUUUGCCUCUUGCCCUGAAGGAAAUGACACAUUAGGUAGAAGUAAUGCUCUAUGGUUUCACAAAGUAGAAGAUAAUUAUUGCAUAUGAAGACCUGUUAGAAACCAGAAGAAUUAGUUAUGAUACACAUACAUUAUCUCUGGUGGAGCUUCAAGUCAAACGGAGAUGAAUGCAGUUUUGACCUGACCUGAAAUCACAUUUGAGAAUUCUGAGUAGAUCUUUAACAAAGAAAAUUGCCUAAAUUCAGCAGCUUGCAAAAAUGAGAACAUAUCUUCAGUCUCAUCUCCAAAGCCAGAAAUGCCCGACACUUGUUUGGAGUCCUUGUCUUCUGUCUACUAUUUUAGGGGGUAACUGUUUUUCUGAAAAUUAAAUUGAAAAGAAGACACAUCAUAACAAAUUUAUGAGAAGAUACAUUAACACUAUAUCAGACUCAAUUUAUGAGGAGCAUGAAUUUGAGAAAGAUGUUGUCGUGGUUUAGCCCCAGCCUGCAGCUGAGCACCACGUGGCAGUUCGCUUGCCCCUGCCCUCAGUGGGAUGGAGAGGAGAAUCGGAAGAAAAAGGAAAGGAGGGUCUUCAGAUCAUGAAGGACCAUCAAAUAAACAUGAGCAUUUAGUAAGAUGAUGUAAUCUUCAUAUUUUAUGCAUCCAUGGAGAACUGAAUGGAAAUAUGAAGGAAGAACAGGAAAACGGGUAUUACUUUUGUAUAUGGCAUCAGCUGUUCUGUUACCAGAUUGCAAUGUCACUUUUUAUAUCACUGCUAUGAAAGAGACACUGUAAAAAAUUUUUGAAACGGCUCAGAAAACAACCACAAGAACGAUGUAUAAAUAUUGUCUUCAAAAAGAGCUGGGUUGGUUCAGUUUAUCCUAGAGGUAGUCGUCAUUUGGCGUGAUGCUGAGUGCUGAAGGAGAGCUCUGGCAAGAAGAGCAUCUUCCAUCUUGGGGUACGGUGCAAGCAGGAGCUAGAGGUUGGCCGGCAAGGUGGAUAUCACACAGACAGAGCCGGGGAAGCGCUGAGGAGAGAAAGGAGCCUUGUGAAGCUUUGCUGAAGUCUGAUGAAGUAAUGUAUUGUGUUGAUGAACGGGGUGCUUUAGUGUAGGCAGGUAGUGCAGAUAAAAUAAAUAUGGUUUUUUAGAAAUUAGAGUGUGAGGUCUUUUUAAUCUGUUUAACAAUACAGUUUAUCUUACUAGUCUAUAAACGUUAGGGACAGGAAUAUGUAAAUGUGUAACAGUACGUCCUGUUCAUAGGGAAAACGUUGCCUGUGGCUAAUCCUC